AGCUAAUGUUCACAUGUAAACAGCAGCUCAUGUAAAGAGAUUGUCCAGUCAACUGAUGGUAGCGGUGACUGUCCAGGCGAUACGUACUUAGGUAUCGUCAUGAGCUAAUGUUCACAUGUAAACAGCAGCUCAUGUAAAGAGAUUGUCCAGUCAACUGAUGGUAGCGGUGACUGUCCAGGCGAUACGUACUUAGGUAUCGUCAUGAGCUAAUGUUCACAUGUAAACAGCAGCUCAUGUAAAGAGAUUGUCCAGUCAACUGAUGGUAGCGGUGACUGUCCAGGCGACACACGUACUUAGGUAUCGUCAUGAGCUAAUGUUCACAUGUAAACAGCAGCUCAUGUAAAGAGAUUGUCCAGUCAACUGAUGGUAGCGGUGACUGUCCAGGCGACACACGUACUUAGGUAUCGUCAUGAGCUAAUGUUCACAUGUAAACAGCAGCUCAUGUAAAGAGAUUGUCCAGUCAACUGAUGGUAGCGGUGACUGUCCAGGCGAUACGUACUUAGGUAUCGUCAUGAGCUAAUGUUCACAUGUAAACAGCAGCUCAUGUAAAGAGAUUGUCCAGUCAACUGAUGGUAGCGGUGACUGUCCAGGCGACACACGUACUUAGGUAUCGUCAUGAGCUAAUGUUCACAUGUAAACAGCAGCUCAUGUAAAGAGAUUGUCCAGUCAACUGAUGGUAGCGGUGACUGUCCAGGCGAUACGUACUUAGGUAUCGUCAUGAGCUAAUGUUCACAUGUAAACAGCAGCUCAUGUAAAGAGAUUGUCCAGUCAACUGAUGGUAGCGGUGACUGUCCAGGCGACACACGUACUUAGGUAUCGUCAUGAGCUAAUGUUCACAUGUAAACAGCAGCUCAUGUAAAGAGAUUGUCCAGUCAACUGAUGGUAGCGGUGACUGUCCAGGCGACACACGUACUUAGGUAUCGUCAUGAGCUAAUGUUCACAUGUAAACAGCAGCUCAUGUAAAGAGAUUGUCCAGUCAACUGAUGGUAGCGGUGACUGUCCAGGCGACACACGUACUUAGGUAUCGUCAUGAGCUAAUGUUCACAUGUAAACAGCAGCUCAUGUAAAGAGAUUGUCCAGUCAACUGAUGGUAGCGGUGACUGUCCAGGCGAUACGUAGUUAGGUAUCGUCAUGAGCUAAUGUUCACAUGUAAACAGCAGCUCAUGUAAAGAGAUUGUCCAGUCAACUGAUGGUAGCGGUGACUGUCCAGGCGAUACGUACUUAGGUAUCGUCAUGAGCUAAUGUUCACAUGUAAACAGCAGCUCAUGUAAAGAGAUUGUCCAGUCAACUGAUGGUAGCGGUGACUGUCCAGGCGACACACGUACUUAGGUAUCGUCAUGAGCUAAUGUUCACAUGUAAACAGCAGCUCAUGUAAAGAGAUUGUCCAGUCAACUGAUGGUAGCGGUGACUGUCCAGGCGACACACGUACUUAGGUAUCGUCAUGAGCUAAUGUUCACAUGUAAACAGCAGCUCAUGUAAAGAGAUUGUCCAGUCAACUGAUGGUAGCGGUGACUGUCCAGGCGACACACGUACUUAGGUAUCGUCAUGAGCUAAUGUUCACAUGUAAACAGCAGCUCAUGUAAAGAGAUUGUCCAGUCAACUGAUGGUAGCGGUGACUGUCCAGGCGACACACGUACUUAGGUAUCGUCAUGAGCUAAUGUUCACAUGUAAACAGCAGCUCAUGUAAAGAGAUUGUCCAGUCAACUGACGGUAGCGGUGACUGUCCAGGCGACACACGUACUUAGGUAUCGCCAUGAGCUAAUGUUCACAUGUAAACAGCAGCUCAUGUAAAGAGAUUGUCCAGUCAACUGAUGGUAGCGGUGACUGUCCAGGCGACACACGUACUUAGGUAUCGUCAUGAGCUAAUGUUCACAUGUAAACAGCAGCUCAUGUAAAGAGAUUGUCCAGUCAACUGAUGGUAGCGGUGACUGUCCAGGCGACACACGUACUUAGGUAUCGCCAUGAGCUAAUGUUCACAUGUAAACAGCAGCUCAUGUAAAGAGAUUGUCCAGUCAACUGAUGGUAGCGGUGACUGUCCAGGCGACACACGUACUUAGGUAUCGUCAU